rnacentral:lncRNA from 1 species
GUCUUAAAAUUUUGAAUUUUAUUUUUUGAGUAAAAAAGUGAAACUAAAGGUUAGAAUAGAUUAAUAGAAAGUAACCUAACCUGAAUGAAGACUGUCUUCAAAAGUGUGCCAGAAAAACAAGUGAUAUUGGCAGUGAUAAUUUUAAGGUUUAAAGAUUCAAACACUUCACAUAAUUUAACCAUAAAAGUGUGCCAGAAAAACAAGUGAUAUUGGCAGUGAUAAUUUUAAGGUUUAAAGAUUCAAACACUUCACAUAAUUUAACCAUUGUGUCUGUCCUUUUGCUACAUGUCAAGCUCACAACUAUUGUAUUUUCUCCCAUAUAUGUAACCCUAAGCUGCACUCCAC